rnacentral:rRNA from 1 species
UGGGGAAUCUUGCGCAAUGGCCGAAAGGCUGACGCAGCGACGCCGCGUGGAGGAUGACGGCCUUCGGGUUGUGAAAUCUCCUAGUUGCCCCGGGAUCCGGAACACACUGGUGCGCCAGUGCUGACGGUACCGGGUGAGGAAGCACCGGCUAACUCUGUGCCAGCAGCCGCGGUAAUACAGAGGGUGCGAGCGUUGUCCGGAAUCACUGGGCGUAAAGGGCGCGUAGGUGGCGCGGUAAGCGUGUGGCGAAAGCUCGGGGCUCAACCCUGAGUCGGCCGUGCGAACUGCCGCGCUAGAGCAUACGAGAGGCAGGCGGAAUUCCGGGUGUAGCGGUGGAAUGCGUAGAGAUCCGGAAGAACACCGGUGGCGAAGGCGGCCUGCUGGCGUAGUGGCUGACACUGAGGCGCGACAGCGUGGGGGAGCAAACAGGAUUAGAUACCC